rnacentral:misc_RNA from 1 species
AUACUCUGUACAACUGCUGUUGCAACAAGUGCUUCGCUGCUAGAUGCUACAAAAGGGUCUAUCUAUCAAGUUUUGAUUGACGAAGCUGGAAUGUGUACGGAACCGGAGUGCAUGGCCGUUAUCGCAGCAACAACGGCAAAACAAGUGGUUUUGAUCGGGGAUCACAAACAACUGCGGCCUGUUGUCAUAUGUGAAGAAUCUGCAGAGCUGGGACUUCAGAAAUCAUUGUUCGAAAGAUACGCAGAAACAAAACGUUCUUACCUGACUUUUUUGAGCCUUCAAUACAGAAUGCAUCCAGGUUUAUGCGAGUUUCCUUCCAACAAAUUUUACGAAGGAAAACUGAGGACGGCUGAUUCUCCAAAAUGGAUGACAAAGACGCCUCUGGGCUUGUGGACAAAUCCUAAAUAUCCCUAUGUGUUUUGUCAUACAGAGGGAGAGGAAGAAUACUUGGCAUACACUACGGAAGAAGGAAAUGAGAUGUCCAGAUACAAUUCUAAGGAAGUUGAACAAGUGGUAUCAAUUUUUUCUCACCUUGUUAAAACGGAAAAAAUCAAAUGGGAAAAUAUAAACGUAAUGUCGCAAUACAAUGCACAAUGCCAUCAAAUCCGACUGGCACUGAAGAAACAUAAGUUUGAUUUCGUCAAUGUCAACACAGUAGUAGCAAGUCAAGGCGGUGAGUGGGAUUACGUCAUAUUCAGCUUGGUGAGGUCACUUCCUGAAUACAGAAUAGAGCCAGAACCAACUUUAGGGUGGUGUAAAGAAAACUUGGGGUUCAUCACUGACGAUCAUCAGAUCAAUGUUGCCUUAACCAGAGCUCGCAAAGGACUCUUCGUCAUAGGAAACCGAAAUCUUAUGGCAUGUGAAAAGGCAUUUUUGGAGGAAAUGUUGGAGCACUUUAAGAAAAACAAUUGUAUCGUUGAAGCUUCAAACUUUCUUCCAAAAAGUAGUAGCAAAUCUAAAACUCGUGUUACUUGAUUGAAAGUGAUAUAAGGACUGAAACGCACACGUUACUCAACAUGGAUGAAAGCAUAUUCAAUGCACAUACAUGUACCAUCAAGUUUACAUUGCUAUCGAUGUUGAAAGUUUAUAUUUGAAAAAGUUAUGUCCAUGCACAACACGUUAUGCAAUGUUGAUUUAGGAAUUAACAUACGACGGCAUCAAGAAUAUUCAAUAAUGUACUGAAUCAAUCGUAUCUAUCCGUAACGUUAUCUUAGUAAUACAUGUAUUUAAAAAAAAAGGAUUAAUACAUACAGAUUUUUAAAAACUCUAAAUAUUGAGCAUAAAGCUAGACGACCUGAUUUUUAUACAGAUACAUGUAUUCGUCUGGCCAAGUAACUGAUAGUCGCUGAAACCCGUGCUAGUCGCUGAAACCAAAAGGUAUGCGACUUGAGUCAAAUUCCUUUUGUGUAUGAUUUAUUCUAACUUAAUAUGGCAAACGUUCAUGAAGAUUUUUUAUAUUAAACAUUUAUUUGUUUAUUUGCUCUUAUACAAAUAAAAAUAAAUGAUAUUAUUGAU